AAACACAUGGAUGUUGUAGAGCAGAUAGGCUAAUAUUGAAAGCAUGUAUGCCAUAAAAUCUUCUGAAACCAUGGCAUUGAAAAGGGAAUUUAUCUCCCUUUUAAACUCUUAAGGAGAAUGUUAGGAGUAAGAAGUCAGUCUGUCAGGAUGAUUUCUCCUUUGGUUUAUACAGAAGUUGAUAUUUUGUUGAAUUUUACAUGAUGAAGAAUGUCACAUUUGAAGAACCAUGAGUUUCGAUGGACCAAGAGUUGUAUGAGGAUGCUGAUUUAGGAUUUGGGACUUUUUUGUCCAUCAUGUUUGUGACCGCAUACCUUGUAUUUAUAGUCUUGGCGGGACUGUGUGUGACUUUAGAGAUCACAGCCCGCCGUCUCACCUCGUCCCAUGCCGCACAGACAGCCGUUGCCAAUCCGGCAUUCAGACGGUCCAGAAGCUCUUUCUGUAGGCGUUAUCUCCUGGCCCUCUGGGCAGACUGGCUGCAGGGACCUUACCUUUAUAAACUCUACAACUUUACAACUUUCUGGAGUCUCAGAUCGACAUUCGUGUGUGGCCUUGCUUCUUGUGUGCUAUUUGCUCCUGUGGCCAGCUGGCUAAAGCUGUCACAAGACUAUUUCAUACUAGGAUGUGUUUUAGGAGGCCUGUAAACUUUUUACCUACUUUUCUUUUAAUUAGAAAAGUUUUUGUAUUUCCAAAAUCCAAUCUUAUGCUAAUUGAAAGAAAACAAGUUGAUAAAAAAUUUAAUACGUAAUUUGUUAAUAACAUAAUGAAAUAUAUACAAGCAA